rnacentral:rRNA from 1 species
GAUGAACGCUGGCGGCGUGCCUAAUACAUGCAAGUCGAGCGAACAGACGAGGAGCUUGCUCCUCUGACGUUAGCGGCGGACGGGUGAGUAACACGUGGAUAACCUACCUAUAAGACUGGGAUAACUUCGGGAAACCGGAGCUAAUACCGGAUAAUCUAUUGAACCGCAUGGUUCAAUAGUGAAAGACGGUUUUGCUGUCACUUAUAGAUGGAUCCGCGCUGCAUUAGCUAGUUGGUAAGGUAACGGCUUACCAAGGCUACGAUGCGUAGCCGACCUGAGAGGGGGGUCGGCCACCUGAGAGCGUAGACGGGGACCAGACGACUGAGAGAGGCAGCAGUAGGGAAUCUGACGCAGUGGGCGGAAGCUUGACGGAGCAGCGCCGCGUGAGAGAUGGAGAUCUUCGGAUCGUAAAACUCUGUUAUUAGGGAAGAACAGAUGUGGAAGUAACUAUGCACGGCUUGACGGUAACUAAUCAGAAAGCCACGGCUAACUACGUG